rnacentral:tRNA from 1 species
GACGCCGUGGUGAAGUACGGUCUAACACACCGGUCUUUCAAGCCGGGAUUCACGGGUUCAAAUCCCGUCGGCGUCGCCA